UACAGAGGGUGCGAGCGUUGUUCGGAAUUAUUGGGCGUAAAGGGCGCGUAGGCGGUGCGGUAAGUCUCCUGUGAAAUCUCCGGGCUCAACCCGGAGCGGUCAGGGGAAACUGCCGUGCUUGAGUGUGGGAGAGGUGCGUGGAAUUCCUAGUGUAGAGGUGAAAUUCGUAGAUAUUAGGAAGAACACCAGUGGCGAAGGCGGCUCACUGGCCCGGUACUGACGCUGAGGCGCGAAAGCGUGGGGAGCAACAGGAUUAAGAUACCCUGUACGUC
rnacentral:rRNA from 1 species